rnacentral:rRNA from 1 species
GGGGUGCAGCAGGCGCGAAAAUUUCCUGCAAUAGGCGAAAGCUUGACAGAGUUACUCUGAGUUGAUGUCCGCUAAGGGCAUCUUUUGGCACCUCUAAAAAUGGUGUAGAAUAAGGGGUGGGCAAGUCUGGUGUCAGCCGCCGCGGUAAUACCAGCACCCCGAGUGGUCGGGACGAUUAUUGGGCCUAAAGCAUCCGUAGCCGGUCUUGCAAGUCCUCCGUUAAAUCCAGCUGCUUAACAGAUGGGCUGCGGAGGAUACUACAAGGCUAGGAGGCGGGAGAGGCAAGCGGUACUCAGUGGGUAGGGGUAAAAUCCUCUGAUCCAUUGAAGACCACCAGUGGCGAAGGCGGCUUGCCAGAACGCGCUCGACGGUGAGGGAUGAAAGCUGGGGGAGCAAACCGGAUUAGAUACCCGGGUAGUCCCAGCUGUAAACGAUGCAGACUCGGUGAUGGGCCGGCUUUAUGCCAGCUCAGUGCCGCAGGGAAGCCGUUAAGUCUGCCGCCUGGGGAGUACGGUCGCAAGACUGAAACUUAAAGGAAUUGGCGGGGGAG